rnacentral:rRNA from 1 species
UACAGAGGGGGCAAGCGUUGUUCGGAAUUACUGGGCGUAAAGGGCACGUAGGCGGCCGCCUAAGUCAGACGUGAAAUCCCUCGGCUCAACCGGGGAACUGCGUCUGAUACUGGGUGGCUUGAAUCCGGGAGAGGGAUGCGGAAUUCCAGGUGUAGCGGCGAAAUGCGUAGAUAUCUGGAGGAACACCGGUGGCGAAGGCGGCAUCCUGGACCGGCAUUGACGCUGAGGCGCGAAAGCCAGGGGAGCAAACGGG